UACGUAGGGUGCGAGCGUUGUCCGGAAUUAUUGGGCGUAAAGAGCUCGUAGGCGGUUUGUCGCGUCGGCCGUGAAAACUUGGGGCUUAACCCCAAGCCUGCGGUCGAUACGGGCAGACUUGAGGCAUGCAGGGGAGAACGGAAUUCCUGGUGUAGCGGUGAAAUGCGCAGAUAUCAGGAGGAACACCGGUGGCGAAGGCGGUUCCUGCUGGGUCAUGUUCUGACGCUG
rnacentral:rRNA from 1 species